GAUGAACGCUGGCGGCGUGCCUAAUACAUGCAAGUCGAGCGAACAGAUGAGGAGCUUGCUCCUCUGACGUUAGCGGCGGACGGGUGAGUAACACGUGGAUAACCUACCUAUAAGACUGGGAUAACUUCGGGAAACCGGAGCUAAUACCGGAUAAUAUAUUGAACCGCAUGGUUCAAUAGUGAAAGACGGUUUUGCUGUCACUUAUAGAUGGAUCCGCGCCGCAUUAGCUAGUUGGUAAGGUAACGGCUUACCAAGGCAACGAUGCGUAGCCGACCUGAGAGGGUGAUCGGCCACACUGGAACUGAGACACGGUCCAGACUCCUACGGGAGGCAGCAGUAGGGAAUCUUCCGCAAUGGGCGAAAGCCUGACGGAGCAACGCCGCGUGAGUGAUGAAGGUCUUCGGAUCGUAAAACUCUGUUAUUAGGGAAGAACAAAUGUGUAAGUAACUAUGCACGUCUUGACGGUACCUAAUCAGAAAGCCACGGCUAACCACGUG
rnacentral:rRNA from 1 species